GACGAACCGUACGACCGUUAUUCGGAAUUACUGGGCGUAAAGCGCACGUAGGCGGCUUCUUAAGUCGGAGGUGAAAUCCUGGAGCUCAACUCCAGAACUGCCUUCGAUACUGGGAAGCUCGAGUCCGGGAGAGGUGAGUGGAACUGCGAGUGUAGAGGUGAAAUUCGUAGAUAUUCGCAAGAACACCAGUGGCGAAGGCGGCUCACUGGCCCGGUACUGACGCUGAGGUGCGAAAGCGUGGGGAGCAAACAGG
rnacentral:rRNA from 1 species